AGAAUGAUUCGAAAUGGAGGCAGAGGGAGCCAAGCCUGUAUUCACUCAGCCUUGCAAAGAGGAAACUUCAUUUGAAACAUACAUAACUUCCUCUGUGCCAGCUACUCAUUCCUUUUGUUUUCAACCAGCUAGCAGAUCAAAAGAAUUAAGGAGAUUAAAAAGCAGAGUGACUCAGUGACUUCAUACAUCAAAACAGGAAAGUGUUGAAUGAAACCAUUUCUAGGCAAAGUGACUACACAGAGAAGGACCAUAAAAGGCAGCUCAAGGGGAGGAAACACCUCAAGCUUGUUCCCCCUCCCCCCACCUUCUCACAUAAAAUGCAAAACCAGAUACAUGUCAGAAGAAAAACCCAGAAUAGAUGCAAAUCAAAUCCACUUAAGUUCAGAGGUCUGCAGAAUCUCGCUGGGGCAGAGGGUGUUGAGAAGGUGCAUUGCUGGCAGAUUUCCUGUCCCUUUAAAGUCUUGUGGUCUGCGCAGUCGCCUUGAUGCCUGGCUCGCCUGCCUGGAGGAGGAAAGGUCCCUAAGUGUGCUGCUGCCUUCCUGCCCCAGAAUCCUUCAUCUGGCCUGGAGUCAGGAUUUGCCAGGUGGGAGUUGCUGACUGGUAAGCUCAUCGGGAGAGUGUGGAUUGUAGGGCAGCACAGAUGUCAGGACGGGUAGCAUUCACUCAGAAUCGUGUCUGAAAGUAAUGGGCUUGGGCUUGGGCUUGGGGGUGGGGGUGAGGGUGGGGGAAGCAGCAGGGAGUGGGGUGAGUCCAUUCCUAGAAGGAUCUGGCUGUCUCCUCUUUGUGGUGAUUGAGGAAUCACUGCUAUGACAAAUGUGGCACAGCUUGGGGACCAAGAUGGGGCCAUGGCUCUGCCUCCUUUCAGCUGGUUCCCUGUGCCGUCCCUGUAAGCAACAGCCACUGAAGAGAAAACCCAUUAGCAGGCUUCCCUUGGAGCGCUGGGGGCAGCAGCAGCCCCAUUAUCCAAAUUUCUCAUUCGCCCCAUGCCAGUGCUCAGUGAGGCAGCCAAAUGGAGCUGCCCACUUCGCUGUACCCACUCAUUUGACUUAUUAGUAAGAUGGUAAUUAUGCUGAGAGGAAUGAAGGGCAAUGAGGGGGAGGUGACAGAAGCAAUUUGUUGGUGAUGGGAUGACAGCCCAGGAACCUCCAAAUCUGUGCCUAGGAGAGAGGGAUGAGAGGAGAAGGAAGAUAGAUGGCAAUGCGCAAUCACAAGUGAACAUCUCGUGUACCUUUUUAGAAACUUGCUUAUAGAGAAUGACCUCUAUAAUCAGCCCACCUACCCACAUGUCCUUAUGAAACAGCUACCCACAUCCCCUAAAUGGGCUCCUUUUAGUAAGAAAAGUGUAUUGCUUAUGGGUGUUUUUUGUAGACAGUUAUAGCUCCCUACUCCUUUUAACUAGCUUAGUGAUGUCUCUUUCUAGAGAGUUAAAGUUCAGUUUGUACUAAAUUUAGACAAGCUAAUAUGAAGUCUUGCCCAGCAGCUGGGCCAGGUAUGCAAAAUGAGGAGCUUCCUUUAUGCAUUCACCAAGUAUCUGUUGAAGACCAACUAUGUACUGAAUACUGUUCCAGAUGCUGGGGAUGCAGCAAUGAAUCAAAUAGAUGCAUCUCAUUGUUUACAUUCCUACACAGCUUAUGUGUGUGUGUUGCUUAGGGGGGAGGGGUGCAGAACAUACAUCAACAAAUAAAUAAAUAAUUUUAGAUACCACAAAAUGUGAUGGUGACUUGGGAUAGGUUUUUUUUUUUUUUAAAGAUCUCUUUAUUUAUUCACGAGAGACACACACAGAGAGGCAGAGAUGUAGACAGAAGGAGAAGCAGGCUCCAUGCAGGGAGCCUGAUGUGGGACUCGAUCCCAGGCCUCCAGGAUCAUGACCUGAGCCAAAGGCAGAUGCUCAACCACUGAGCCACCCAGGUGCCCCAGGAUGGGGGGCAUUUUAGAUUGUGUGAUGAGGGAGUGGCUCUGUGGGUAAGGUAGUAUUUUUGCUAAGAACAAAAAUUUAUUAGGCAGAGAUCUGGAGGGUGAGGGUGGGGAUAGUACACCUGAAGGAAGGCAAAGGGACAUAAAAGACCCUAAGGUGGAAAUGAAGUGGGCAUUCUGAGCAACAGCAACAAGACAAGAGGGGCUAGAAGGAGUGCCAGCAGAAGAGGCGGUCAAGAAUGAUGUAGGAGGGGCAGGCGGGGAUGCAAUCACUGGCCAUGAUGAGCUGUUUAAACUUUAUUCCAAGAAAAUGAGGAAUUACUGAAGAACUUUUAUCAAAAGGUUGACAUGAUGAAGUUCAUAUUUUUGAAACAUCUCUCUCAUGCUGAAUGGAGAAUCAGUUAGAGAGGCAAGAAAGAAAAUAGGAAAACCUGGGGGCCAUCCUGCCAAACAACAGACAUAAAAAGGCUGGCACUUAGGGGUGUCUGUGUGGCUCAGUUGGUUAAGCAUCUGACUCUUGGUUUCAGCUCAGGUGGUGAUCUUAGAGUCACAAGAUCGAGCCCCGUGUUGGGCUCUGUGCUUAGUGUGGAGUCUGGUUAAGUUUGUCUCUCCUUAUCUCCUACUCUCUCUGUCUCUCAAAUAAAUAAAUCUUUUAAAAAAUUGCUAACAUUCAAAGGAAACAAAUGGAUUUUUGGCCACCAAGAAAAGAGAUACUGGCAUUGCCAGCUACUGUAUGCACCUAUGUCACAUUGGCCAUUGGCCAGACAUUCUGACAAUGCUAUUUCACUUGUUGCCUGUUAACACUACUGGGAACUCACAUUUUGCAGAUGGAAACUCAGAGAUUUAAAGUGACUUGCCCAUUGUCCCACCUGAUUGUAGGUGGUAGAAACAGAAUUUGAACUUGGGAGUCAUAUCUGAAUUCCAAGUUGUCCCCACUACACCACACUUCCUCUUACUCGGGAGACACUCGUUGCCCAGCAUCAGAAUGGAUCUGAAGUACAGGACUCCAGUGUUAGUUACUGAUCUGUCCCUCAAACUUACAAUAGUGCCUGGCAAAUAGUAUGCGUUCAGAAAAAUGAUGAAAUGAAUGGUGAUAAAGCACUAACGACCUUGCUGAGUAUUAAUUCAGACUGCCCUGACUCUUAUGCCCGCAGUAAAGGUUGGUCUUGCAAGCCAGAUUGUGUCUGAUGGGGAGAUUAAGUAGUAGCAGGUACCCAGGAGGAGGGAUACAGAGAUGGGGAAGUAGGGAGGGUCAGUAUGAUUAGAGAAAGUUAGUAUUAUUAGGGAGAUGACUUGCCUAGGGUCGCAUCAGAGAGUAAAUCAAAACUCUGCUUACUCUCUAGCCUAUGAGGCUAUGAGUCCUGGGAAGGAAUCAAAGGACCUAAGUAUGAAUCCCAGAGGUGAUUAUCAGUAGGCCUCAGUGUCCUCACUGAAAAAGGGAAAUGAGAUCAUCCAUCCCUUGGUCGUGUAGUAAGGAAUACAUGAAAUAAUGAAUGGUGAAAUGCCUAAAAUCAAGCACUGGCCAAAUAUAAGUUCUUUUUUUUUUUUUUCCAAAUAUAAGUUCUGAUGAAUAUCAGCUCUCUGUUUUAUCAGUAUAUUCUCUGAUCAUAUCCUAUUAAAUUUGAAUAUUAGUAUGUUACUCAUGCAGAAGUAUUGGAUUCCUUAAUCUGCUAAAAAUAUAUGUGUCACUAAGAAAUAGAUCUUGGGCAGUUUCUUUGAAAAAUAUGCUAUUCAUCAAUCCACAGAAACUCAUGCAUGCACUUAUUAAUUCAACCAAUAUUUUUUAGACUCUAAAAAUACAUGAUAAUUUAUAUUUUAGCCAACUUCUGGGGACUCAGAGAAUAACACUGAGGGUUCCAAGAGGCAUAUAUCCACAGGGCUCUUCUAUGUCUUGAAGUAUAAUAUGAAAGAGAAAAAAUAUAUUUGAGUGGCAAGGGAGGAUAGUCAAAAGUAGUCCAGGAAUAUGGAAACUUCUCAUCUGCUGGUGGUUAAUUUCCUAGCUCGCAGUGAUCACUGUCCAAAGUCUAAAGGCCAGUACCUUAUUUUUUUAUGAUUCCCAGAUAGUUCUCAAGGUGUCAGAGAUAAUGGUCAGGUGGCCCUGCUGCAGAUGAAUGCUGGUACCUGGUUCAAAGUGACCUCGUUGCUCUUUUAAGUAUGUGACUAUCUCCUUGAUUUGACUAUAAAUUCUGUAGUAAAGGGACCAGAUCUCCCUCAUAUGUUUAUUCCUAACUAUGGUUAUUACAGUUAAAGCUCUGCUGAUGUGGCCUAAAUGUCAACGAGGGAUGCCUUCUUAUACCUAAGGAUCUAGGAGGCUGACUUGAGACCUUUGUUUAUGGAUUCUGUGGAAUGGAUUCAAAUCCAUUCCAUGAUUUUUUUUAAUUUCUGAAAAGCUUAUAUUAGAUCCUACUUGCUCUCUUACCUGUGACCUCUUCGAUACAUGAUAUUGGUUUAGAAAAGAAAAGUCGGGC
rnacentral:lncRNA from 1 species